UACGGAGGAGGCAAGCGUUAUCCGGAAUUAUUGGGCGUAAAGCGUCCGCAGGUGGCACUUCAAGUCUGUCGUCAAAGACUGGGGCUUAACCCCGGAAAGGCGGUGGAAACUGAAGCGCUAGAGUGCGGUAGGGGUAGAGGGAAUUCCCGGUGUAGCGGUGAAAUGCGUAGAGAUCGGGAAGAACAUCGGUGGCGAAAGCGCUCUACUGGACCGCAACUGACACUCAGGGACGAAAGCUAGGGGAGCGAAUGGG
rnacentral:rRNA from 1 species